CUCAUUAUUAUUGAAUUACACACACCUAGGUCUUAACCAUUGUGCUACGUUACUAUUUUAUUUUAAUUUGUUUUCUUACUAUGACGGAUAAGUUAUAACAAAGUGAAUCCACGCUAGUAUUAGUAACUCGAAGUGAGAUCAAAGUAGGAAUAAUCCGUAUCAAGAAUUUCUCAUUUGGAAAUAACAAACAAUUGGACAGAUCUUAUUUCAGAAUAUAGCUUGGGGAGUUGAAUUGUGUGUAGAUUGAUUCCCAGGUAUUGAGACAGAUAAGGUUUUGCCUAGAGUCAUAUCAUGUUGCCAAAAGAUGGCAGCACUAAGAAGAUAGUAAGUAAGCUGUCGGCUCAUAUUCCUGCCUUCACAGACAUUUUUGAUGAGGAAACAUUCUACAUCUUCUUCAUCUGUUUGACUGUAAUCACAGUCUCACUGGCAAUAUACUGUUCAAGAAAACUCACCAUAAAGGAUGCAGGACAUGUGGAUUAGAAAUUACCUGCAACGGUGAAUUAUUUAGUGGUCAGAAGUUCCUUGAUGGUUCAGACACUUCACAUCACAGUAUAAACCAUCAUGAUGAAUGUUCACAGAAUAAUGAGAAGUUCAUUCGAAUGGGUGUGUCUCGCUUACUUGAGUAACUAAUUAUAUGUUACCAUAAACCUUUCAGUUGGACUUUAUAGUUUGAUAUAAAUUAUUGAUUGUGCUUUUGCCCUGUCUUACAUGUAUGUCUUGUUUUUUACCCAAUAUAUAUGUGUACAUGUGAAAUAAGAAGUCAAGUGUGUAUGAUAUGGUUAAGUUAAUAAAUCAAGUUGUUUGAA